UAAACUGCUCCCUGUAAGUCGCUUUGGAUAAAAGCGUCAGCUAAAUGACUAAAU
rfam:Larimichthys crocea isolate SSNF unplaced genomic scaffold scaffold369, whole genome shotgun sequence.